AUGAACGUUUGCGGUGUGCCUUAUGCAUGCAAGUCGAACGGUUCAACAAGCCGAAAGGUUUGUAGGAUAGUGGCGAACGGCUGAGUAAUACGUAAGUAACCUACCUUCAAGUGGGGAAUAACCCAUCGAAAGGUGGGCUAAUACUGCAUAUGGUAACUAAACUGAGGCUUAGUUGUUAAAGCCUUAGGGCACUUGAAGAGGGGCUUGCGUCCCGAUUAGUUAGUUGGUGGGGUAAUGGCUCACCAAGGCGAUGAUCGGUAGCUG
rnacentral:rRNA from 1 species